rnacentral:snoRNA from 1 species
UUAAUAUGAUGAAAACAAAACAGUUCUGCUUCUGAUAAAUAAUUGAAGAUAACUUGCCCAUCUGAUUU